AGCAGUCGCCACGGUAAGACAGAGGAUGCAAGCGUUAUCCGGAAUGAUUGGGCGUAAAGCGUGCGUAGGCGGCUUUUUAAGUCGGAUGUGAAAUCCCUGAGCUUAACUUAGGAAUUGCAUUCGAUACUGGGAAGCUAGAGUAUGGGAGAGGAUGGUAGAAUUCCAGGUGUAGCGGUGAAAUGCGUAGAGAUCUGGAGGAAUACCGAUGGCGAAGGCAGCCAUCUGGCCUAAUACUGACGCUGAGGUACGAAAGCAUGGGGAGCAAACAGGAUUAGAUACCCGGGUAGUCCCUGUCUCUUAUAC
rnacentral:rRNA from 1 species